AAGAAACGUGGGGACGGAGUCUUGGGAAUAGACAACUUCAACUCCUAUUACGACCCAUUAUUGAAACGUGGGCGUCAGAAGUUACUGGCGCAGCACGAGAUCUUUAUCGUGGAAGGUGAUAUAAAUGAUGCCGAGUUGUUAUCCAAACUAUUUGAUAUUGUUCCAUUUACACACGUCCUUCACUUGGCCGCGCAAGCGGGUGUAAGGUAUGCGAUGAAAAAUCCACAAUCUUACAUCAAGUCGAAUAUAGGAGGAUUUGUUAACUUAUUGGAGAUGGUCAAGUUAGCUAACCCUCAACCCGCAAUCGUCUGGGCAUCGUCCAGUUCGGUUUACGGGUUGAACACAAAUGUACCUUUUUCUGAAAAUCAUCGUACGGAUCAACCCGCUAGCCUUUAUGCCGCCACAAAAAAAGCCGGUGAAGAAAUUGCACAUACAUAUAACCACAUUUACGGUCUUUCUUUAACUGCAUUAAGGUUUUUUACUGUUUAUGGACCGUGGGGUAGACCAGACAUGGCCUAUUUUUUCUUCACUAAGGACAUGACACAAGGGAAACCAAUAAAUGUGUACGUAACACAAGAUGAUAAAGAGGUGGCGCGUGACUUCACGUACAUCGACGACAUCGUUAAAGGGUGUCUCGGGGCACUUGACACGGCGGAGA
rnacentral:lncRNA from 1 species